rnacentral:rRNA from 1 species
GAUGAACGCUGGCGGCGUGCCUAAUACAUGCAAGUCGAGCGAACGGACGAGAAGCUUGCUUCUCUGAUGUUAGCGGCGGACGGGUGAGUAACACGUGGAUAACCUACCUAUAAGACUGGGAUAACUUCGGGAAACCGGAGCUAAUACCGGAUAAUAUUUUGAACCGCAUGGUUCAAAAGUGAAAGACGGUCUUGCUGUCACUUAUAGAUGGAUCCGCGCUGCAUUAGCUAGUUGGUAAGGUAACGGCUUACCAAGGCAACGAUGCAUAGCCGACCUGAGAGGGUGAUCGGCCACACUGGAACUGAGACACGGUCCAGACUCCUACGGGAGGAAGCAGUAGGGAAUCUUCCGCAAUGGGCGAAAGCCUGACGGAGCAACGCCGCGUGAGUGAUGAAGGUCUUCGGAUCGUAAAACUCUGUUAUUAGGGAAGAACAUAUGUGUAAGUAACUGUGCACAUCGUGACGGUACCUAAUCAGAAAGCCACGGCUAACUACGUG